rnacentral:rRNA from 1 species
GUGUCAGCAGCCGCGGUAAUACGUAGGGGGCGAGCGUUGUCCGGAAUUAUUGGGCGUAAAGAGCGUGUAGGCGGUCCGGUAAGUCCGCUGUGAAAGUCCAGGGCUCAACCCUGGAAUGCCGGUGGAUACUGCCGGGCUAGAGUCCGGAAGAGGCGAGUGGAAUUCCUGGUGUAGCGGUGAAAUGCGCAGAUAUCAGGAGGAACACCGAUGGCGAAGGCAGCUCGCUGGGACGGUACUGACGCUGAGACGCGAAAGCGUGGGGAGCAAACAGGAUUAGAUACCCUGGUAGUCC